rnacentral:misc_RNA from 1 species
GGUCAAGGGUUCGAGUCCCUUAACCUCCAUUGGGCUUAUGUCCUAAAUCGUAAUUAAGUAUGUUUUUAAGUAACUUUGUUAAAGUAAUUGUUGGAACGUGAAACAGAGGAAGUUAAAAUUUCUGGGUUAAGUUGAGAUCUGUUGAUAUUAAGAAGAAUCUCUAGAAGCAAAAGCAAGCUUUCGAUAAAACCCGAAGUUGUUUCGCUAAAGUGCAAGGAUUAAACAGGAUUGUAUUUUCCAGUAGCCUAUUUUAUAAAUGAUCUGCAUUUAGUAAAUAGUUUUUAGUUAAGAAAUAAUGUAGAUUGCUAAGUGUGAUGCCUGAAAGAAGGACAAGUAUUGUAGCGAGCCUAAAUCCUUGUUGUCGUUGCCAGUAUUUAGUGGUAGGGAUUCGGAUAAGACUGCCAUUUAUAAGUUGGAGGAAGGCAAAGAUUGCAUUAAAUCGUUAUCGCUCUUAUGUUUUAGGUUACAAGUUUGCCACAAUAACCCAAAAAAGCUAAGCA